GCCAAUAAUAAAUAUAAAAUACAAAUGUAGAGCUACGUUUGCAGAGCAGAGACUGACAGAGCUUUGUUUAUAUGGACUAUAGUUCAGCAGGUCCCGCAUCGCUUGUACGUGGAUCGUGCAUUUGUUCAGGUCAUGCCAGCACUGGCACAGAAUAAAUAGUGAGAAAUUCGUCUUCUCUGAAUUGACUGAAGGAUACAGGGGAGGAGGCAGAGAGUGAAUGGAUGGGACUGUGGACGAUAAGGAUAUGUGGACCUAGUAGACAGCUUCGCUUUCUGGCCCCAAUGGAUCACUAGCGAAAGAGCAGCGGUUAAUUUUACGUUCUUUAUUCGUUUUGGUGGGCUACAGCCGGAGAGAACGCCGGUGGAAUAAUUUGUUUUUAUCGCUGCCGGUAAAAAACCUUCUGUUCAUACAAAAAGUUCAAUUCGACCAUAACGGCGACAAAUAAAAAAAAGACAGCAUCAGAUACAUGGUCUACCCAUACUAAGAAAGAGGGGUGCUAUUUCCCUCGCUCUGAUGAUUUCUCAGGACCCCCGCAGAGAUGUUAAGAGCAGCCAUUCAUGUCCUCCAUCUCUUGCAAAUCAUAUUAAAACCCAGCAGCUCCAGGUCAUUUUUUCUCUCUCUAACAGCUCUGCCUUUCAGUGGUGUAAAGUACUUUAAAGUACGACUUAAGUGAAGUACUACUUAAGUUAUAGAUUUUUUACAACUUUUACUUUUACUCCGCUACAUUCCUAAAGAAAAGAAUGUACUUUUUACUCCAUACAUUUUCCCUGAAACUCAAAAGUAUGCUUUACAUUUUGAAUGCUUAGCAGACAGAAUUUUUUCCAUUCACACACUGAUCUGGCGAACUCACCAAACACAAAUACUUAAUUUGUCAAUUAUGUCAUCAGUGUGUGAAUGGUACAGUAGGGCCAAGGCAAUUUACCUACCUCAUCCCCAUACUGUUUUUAUUUUAUUUACUUUUCUGCUCUUUUGCACACCAGUAUCUCUACCUGCACAUGUGAUCAUUUAUCACUCCAGUGUUAAUCUACUAAAUUGUAAUUAUUCACUCCUAUGGCCUAUUUAUUGCCUAACUCCUCGUGCCUUUUGCACACAAUGUAUAUAGAUCAUUUUUUCUACUAUGUUAUUGACUUUUUUUAUUGUUUAUUGUUUACUCCAUGUGUAACUCUGUGUUGUUGUCUGUGUCACACUGCUAUGCUUUAUCUUGGCCAG
ensembl:lncRNA